GUAUUGUCUGCCCGUCGCUGUAAAUCCAGCGAACGGGCUUGGCGGCCCGAACU
rnacentral:ncRNA from 1 species